ACUCCUACGGGAGGCAGCAGUGAGGAAUAUUGGUCAAUGGGCGCAAGCCUGAACCAGCCAUCCCGCGUGCAGGAAGAAGGCCCUAUGGGUUGUAAACUUCUUUUGCAGGGGGAGAAUUUUUUGGUCGUGACAGGGAUUGACGGUACCGUGGGAAUAAGCAUAGGCUAACUCCGUGCCAGCAGCCGCGGUAAUACGGAGGAUGCGAGCGUUAUCCGGAUUCAUUGGGUUUAAAGGGUGCGUAGGCGGAAUAGCAAGUCAGCGGUGAAAGCCUGCAGCUUAACCACAGAAUUGCCAUUGAUACUGAUGUUCUUGAGUUUGGUUAAAGUAGGCGGAAUGUGUAAUGUAGCGGUGAAAUGCUUAGAUAUUACACAGAACACCAAUUGCGUAGGCAGCUUACUAAGCCGAUACUGACGCUGAGGCACGAAAGCGUGGGGAUCAAACAGGAUUAGAUACCCUGGUAGUC
rnacentral:rRNA from 1 species